GAUGAACGCUAGCGGCAGGCUUAAUACAUGCAAGUCGUACGGGAUCCGAGGUAGCAAUACUUUGGUGAGAGUGGCGCACGGGUGCGUAACACGUAUGCAACCUACCUAUAACCGGGACACAACCUCGAGAAAUUGUGGCUAAUAUCCCAUAACACUGCGAAAUGGCAUCAUUUUGCAGUUAAAACUCCGGUGGUCAUAGAUGGGCAUGCGCGACAUUAGCUGGUUGGUGAGGUAACGGCCCACCAAGGCUACGAUGUCUAGGGGUUCUGAGAGGAUUAUCCCCCCCACUGGUACUGAGACACGGACCAGACUCCUACGGGAGGCAGCAGUGAGGAAUAUUGGUCAAUGGGCGCAAGCCUGAACCAGCCAUGCCGCGUGCAGGAAGACGGUCCUAUGGAUUGUAAACUGCUUUUGUACGGGAAGAAACACUCCUACGUGUAGGAGCUUGACGGUACCGUAAGAAUAAGGAUCGGCUAACUCCGUGCCAGCCGCCGCGGUAA
rnacentral:rRNA from 1 species